rnacentral:rRNA from 1 species
UACGGAGGGUGCAAGCGUUAUCCGGAUUUACUGGGUUUAAAGGGUGCGUAGGUGGAUAAGUAAGUCAGUGGUGAAAUCUUCGGGCUUAACCCGGAAACUGCCAUUGAUACUAUUUGUCUUGAAUAUUGUGGAGGUAAGCGGAAUAUGUCAUGUAGCGGUGAAAUGCUUAGAUAUGACAUAGAACACCAAUUGCGAAGGCAGCUCGUUACACGAAGAUUGACUCUGAGGCACGAAAGCGUGGGGAUCAAACAGG